UUUCCUUUUCCGGUUAAACAUCAGCAUGAAAAAAAGAGGAGAAUAAGGACCUAAAGUCCUCAUUUGCUUAAUGUUACAGGCAGUUUUGGAUUUUAAAGGUACUUGCAAAAAAAUAAGCCAACAACUUCUUAGCUGAUGGAGUGAAGCAAUAAGCCUGAGGCAUGUCUACCAUGACAACCAUGGAUGUCCGUCCCAAGAUGCACAACAUCAGGGAUCGUCCAGCUUACAAGCACCCCCAGCACACACAGAAAGCCUUCGAGGUCCUCAACCACAUGAGAAGGCAGAAUCUGCUGUGUGAUGUGACAAUAGUGGUGGACACUACAGAGAUCCCUGCCCACAAAGUAGUCCUCUCCUCCUGUAGUCAGUAUUUCUACGCCAUGUUUACUGGAGAUCUAGCCGAGGCCAAGUCAGACCGAAUCACUCUACAAGAAAUAGAUCCUAAGGCCCUCAUACAGCUGAUUGACUUUGUGUACACUUCAGAAAUCCACGUCACAGAGGAGAAUGUCCAGACUUUGCUGCCAGUUGCCAACAUCCUUCGCUGACCUUCACGCCUGUACGGAGCUUCUGAACUACGCCCAGACAUACACAGAGCAGCAUUUUGUAGAUGUGGUCCAUUUUGAUGAAUUCCUCUCGCUGAAUGUGGACCAGAUAUGUAAACUGAUCUCUAGUGACAGGUUGACAGUUGUUACGGAGGAACAGGUUUAUGAGGCCGUGUUGUCAUGGGUACAGCAUGAUUUGACCAAUCGGCAACAAGAAAUUGACCAGCUGCUCGAACAUGUCCGCUUGCCUCUGAUUGCCCAGGAAUACCUGGUACAGAAGGUGGAGGAGGAGCCGCUGGUGAAGACCAGCAGUCGGUGUAAGGACUUCCUGAUAGAGGCCCUCAAGUACCACCUGCUGAAGACCGACCAGAAGGCUGUGUAUAAGACCCCCAGGACCUUACCCCGUACCCCGCUCGGACUACCCAAGGUUUUGUUGGUGAUUGGUGGACAAGCUCCAAAGGCCAUCAGAAGUGUGGAAAGUUACGACUUUAAGGAAGAGAAGUGGCACCAGCUGGCUGAGAUGCCGUCACGGAGAUGUCGAUGUGGGGUUGCAGUGAUAAAUGGACUUGUGUAUGCAGUCGGGGGAUUUAAUGGUUCCUUGAGGGUCAGGACAGUAGACGUGUAUGACCCGGUCAAGGACAUGUGGACGUCCUGUCCCAGCAUGGAGGCCAGGCGGAGCACCCUGGGGGUGGCCGUAUUACAUGGAAAUAUCUAUGCUGUUGGAGGCUUUGAUGGGUCGUCAGGACUUGACACCGCCGAGUGUUACGAUGUCCGCUGUGGAGAGUGGAGGAUGAUCUCACCCAUGAGUACCCGUAGAAGCAGUGUGGGGGUAGGAGUAGUUAACGGUAUGCUGUUUGCUGUAGGGGGGUACGAUGGAGCGUCCAGACAGUGCUUGAGUUCUGUAGAGUGCUACAACCCAAUGACAGACAUGUGGUCCCCGGUCGCUGAAAUGUCGUGUAGGAGGAGUGGUGCAGGUGUGGGAGUAGUGGAUGGGUUACUGUACGCGGUGGGCGGCCAUGAUGGACCGUUAGUCAGGAAGAGUGUGGAGGUCUACAAUCCGGACACCAACAGCUGGUCACAAGUCAGUGACAUGCACCUGUGUCGCAGAAACGCAGGUGUGGUGGCUAAUGGUGGAUUUCUGUACGUGGUGGGAGGGGAUGAUGGAUCAUCAAACCUGGGCUCUGUGGAAUGUUUCGAUUAUAAAACCAACCAAUGGACACUCUUACCCUCCAGCAUGAUGACCGGUCGCAGUUAUGCUGGGGUCACGGUCAUUGACAAACCUGUGCUAGAGAUUUAAACAGUGGUCAAGGUCAUAGAUAAACCAGCGCUGGAGCGACAUGCUGGGGUCAGAGUCAUGGACAAACCUGUGAGAAAUGUAGACUGGUAUCGUUCAUUAACAACCAGUGCUGGAACUCUAGGCCGGGCACCAGUCAAUAAAUAGUGCUCUCUAAUUCAAGGACCACAACUCUUCAGAUCUUCAAAGCAUUUUUGACUGGCAUUAGGAAAAAUCCUUUUAUCUGUGAUAGCAAUCUGAAGAAAAUGAUGUGCAAUAUUUACAAUGGCAUGAGUUUCUGUGUUUUGUUUCUGUACAUGUAUUACAUGUAUUUAGCCUAUGAGGUGAUUUGGUUCUACUGUUACUCACUGAUGCUUAUUAUAACCUGUGUGUGUUGAUGUGUAAAGUACUGGUACUUUGAUACAAUCAGUGCAGUGCUUCUAUGUAGAUUAAGAUAUAGACCCAGUACACCCUUUGUUGAUACUAUGGGUGACUGAUUAGCUCCUCCUUGGAAAAAUUGUAACAGUUACUAUACAGUUGGUUUUUAUAAGUAAAAUAUUGUGUGAAAGCAGUGAGAUACUACAUUGUAUGUUUUCAAGCUUAAGAGAUUUCAAAAGACAUAUCCUUGUUUCUUGGUCCAGACUUUUACCAUUCCUUUAUGUAAGAUGGAUUACACGGAACAUCGGUUUAUGUAUCUGUUAAUCUUUGAAAUAUUGAUGUAAAAACAUGGUGACAGUUUAGAUGAUCUUUUUGUACUUGUCAAAGAAUAAGAGACAACCAUGUCUUGGCUGGUUUGUGAAGUCCAGUUUUAUUGAUUCAUAGGCUUUAAUAAAUGGGACCAAAGUAUUGGUACCAAUUGUGAGUAUAGGGGCCACAAAGUACUUACCCCAUAGUCUUUUAAGUAUGGUUCCACUGUAUUUGAGACAACAGUGGCAAAGUAUUAUGUCUCGGUUGAAAUCUCAGUGUUGUGCUUAUAUACAAAACAUGAAAUAUGCCAAAAGAGGAGAUUUUUUAAUACUGUUCAUAUGUAUCCCUUAGAAUGAUUGUGUAUAAGUUGUACUCUGUCUUUCCAUACUGAAAUAAGAGGUUGAUUAGGAAGUGUUCGAUGUAUACAUUUGUUCAGCACCAGAAUUAAUGAUUCGGUGAGAAUGAACUUAAUGGUUGGGGUUUUUGUUUGAGAUGUAUGAGGUUAAGUAUAUUGGGGAUCAAACUUUAAUUUAUAUGUGUAUUGUUGUUUACUACAUGUAUUGCAUAUUGUAUUUAAUAAAAUAUGCAUAAAGGU
rnacentral:misc_RNA from 1 species